rnacentral:lncRNA from 1 species
CAAUGGUAGGGUUGUAGUUGCUCUUGUCUGAUGAAAUUGGAGAGAAACAUGAGGUGGAAUACUUUCCUUAGAAAGACUACCCCAAACUGGAUUAUUUAUAAAGAAAAUAAAAUUUCUCACAGAUCCAGAGGCCAAGAAGUCCAAUAUCAAGGUGCCAGCAGCUGUCAAGGGGCCUCUUGUUGAGUCAUCCAUAGUGGAAAGGCAGAAGGGCAAAGGCACAUCCAUGAGAGAGAGAAUGGAAACAGUUCAAACUUAUUCUUCUAUCAGGACCCACUCUUGAGAUAACUCACGCCUAUGAUAAUGGUGUUAAACCACUCAUCAGGGCAGAGGUUUCAUGAUGUAAUCACCCUUUAAAGAUCUCACCUCUCAACACUACUGCAUCGAGGAUUAAGUUUCCAACACAUAGACUUUGAGGAACAUAUUCAAAC